rnacentral:misc_RNA from 1 species
AUGUGUUAUGCAUGUUUAAGAAAUGAUUUAAAUAUUUUAAAAAAAUUGUUUAAUAUAAAGACAACAGUGACUGUGACAUUUUUAAUAUUUUUUUUAACGCUUAUGGUUAAAAAAUAUGUGUUAAUGUAAAAUAUAAGAUUCAAAUACGUAAAAACACAAAAUGAAAUCUCUAACUUUAACAGUGUAUGCUUUGACGGUUUUGUGCGUCGUUACGAAUGCGGUUUCAAAUUCUAGACGUUACAAAA